UACGGAGGGGUGCAAGCGUUAUCCGGAUUCACUGGGUUUAAAGGGUGCGUAGGAGGGCAGGUAAGUCAGUGGUGAAAUCCUAGAGCUUAACUCUAGAACUGCCGUUGAUACUAUCUGUCUUGAAUCCCGUGGAGAUGAGCGGAAUAUGUCAUGUAGCGGUGAAAUGCUUAGAUAUGACAUAGAACACCAAUUGCGAAGGCAGCUCGUUACACGAAGAUUGACUCUGAGGCACGAAAGCGUGGGGAUCAAACAGG
rnacentral:rRNA from 1 species